AAAAAAUGUUAGGGAAAAGAAUAAGCUUAGAAAUGGUACACUCAUGAUACAAUUAGCAUAAAGUUUUAAGGCACACACAACAGUAUUGUUCAGAGCUCCAUGCAUAUGUGGUAAAGUGUAAAAACACAUAUGGAAUGAUAAACAACGUACAUCCAGGGUUGAGCACCAUCUCUGGUUGCUUCACACUUAAAAAAAAACCAAAUACCUAUUUCCCAGGCCAGUCCUAGUCCAGUUAAACCAGAAUCUCUGGGGAUAAAGCCAAGUAUCAGUAUUGUUUGUAAAGCUCCCUAGGGCGUUCUAGUAUGGCGGCAGGGUGAAAAACCACUGCCUUAAAUUGAGAAACGACUGUAAAGUCUUACAGAAGCACAAGGAAUGUCCCCCUUUCAUAUUCAGGCCUUGGACAGAGUAUGUGUUUUGGAGUUAGGCAAGAGACAUAAUUCUCAUGUCUCGGCCAGGAAACAUGAAGAAACUCUCCCAAGAGACAGAUAAGCCCAGACUGUGGCCUCUUCAUAUCCCAGGAGCUCCUCGGAGAAACGGCUGGUUGCAGGUUUGGGGCAGAAAAUGUACAAGAUAAGCCUGGAACUUAUUGUCAAACUACAUAUUAAGUACGCUCUUAAAGACUCCUGAAGGCGGAUAGAAAGGAUCCAGGAUCUACCUAGGAAAGGGUCUCUCUGGCUAAAGAUGGGACAAUGUGGACAUCUUUAAUUGCAUUGGAUUAAAACACACUGGAUAUGUUCAAAAAGAUCCUUUAAGAAAAAAAAAAUAUUUGGAUGAUGCUAAAAACAUCAACUCAUUUUAAAACCUGGAAAAUAAAGAAAAAGAAAUAAGCAUG